rnacentral:lncRNA from 1 species
CCCCCUAGUCUACCCAUCCUAAAGUUGCAUUGUGCCCCUCAUAAUUGUUUACUUGAUGAUGACUCAUGCAACUGGGCAGGCACUGUGGGCAUGCUUUGAGCCCAAGUCUCAGUAAACAGGUUGGCAGUCGGUGAAGUAACAUACCUAUUAAAUACCAGUCAAGUUCUGCCCUGAAAGCUCAGACCUUCGGUGGACUUGAUAAUGACUUUCUGAAAAGCAUGUCUUGUGUAAGUUCAAUUAGUUUUCACUGUAGAUGUCGAUAUGAUCAAUCAUUACGUAUUGAGCUCAUUUUGAGAACACGAAGAGUCAUUGUUUCGUUAUGAGUGCCUUGUUUAGGCUUACUGGUGACUUUUAAAUUGUCCUUGCUGUCGUUUACACAUGUCAAUGCACAAAUCGAUUACUUUUUCAUACCACUACAAGUUUUCAUUACACACAGACUCAGUUUGAAAUGUGAGUUUCAACUUCUGGGAGAAAGUGUGCAGAAAAUAUAUCCUCUUUUCAAUCAGAAAAUUGUUAAUUCUCAUUUUAUUUUAAAAAAAAGUCUUUUCAUCUUUUUGUUCGGUGCGUCAGUACCAUUUGCGAUGUGUGAAACAUUAUGGCUGUCUGUAUUUUUAAUGAAUAUGGUUUUCGUAGUUGGGUUUGAAACCAGAAUAUUUACUUUGUAGUGGGUGUAGUUUUAUGGUACAUAGUGAGCAUGAUGUCGCACCGGGGAACAAGUAUUGCUAUAUUACAAGAGCAACUGAAGACAGGAGACAAGUGAACAGUUAUCUGGACGCAUCACCUAUCGGACGAGUGGUCUGGGACAUUUAACAGCGUACAGAUGCAUGGCUGCCCCAGAUCUUCUUUUGCGGGGAUCAUGAAUGUGGAUUUAUUCUCCGUAAUGUCGAAACUGGCAAGUAUUAAGUAAUUUCACCCACUACAUAAAAUGACAAACUAUUUGCCACACUGUUUACCAUCAACUGCCGGGAUGCGGCCAGCUUAACCCGCGAGCUGAUAAAGGUAAAGGACAUGCAGGAACAUUUACGGCAUCAACGACCGACAAUGAAUGGAUGGUGACGCUGACCAGUGCGGUGUACGUGAAUAAAAUGCCACAAUUUUGCAUUGACACCCCGCCUCAUGACAUGGCUGACUUUAUCAAGAAUGAUGGGACGCGCAUAAUCUCACCCACAACCCCUACACGUGGCAGAGGUCUGGAUUUGAUAGUGGUAUCUAACCAAAAUAAAGUGUUCUCUUCUCGCAACAUCUCAAUUGGGUUUAGUGACCAUAAUAUUGUGUAUAUGGUCUGCAAAGCCCGUGAACCAACAAUUAGAAAAUCGCGGACUCUCCGCAAAUUUGAUGUUGAUCAUUUUAACUACUAUCUCAGAAAAGUCAAUUGGGAAAUGAUAUGUCGACUAAAUAACUCUGAUAUGUAUGGGCUGCUUUUAAACAAGUUCAUUGAAAUUGCGGAUCAGCAUGCCCCUGGAUGGAAAUUCUAUCAAGGGCAAUUUACCUUCACUGUUCAAACUGGAAAUUCUUUGUCCAAACACUAUGAUUUCUGUAAAAGAGUUACCCAGAAGAGUGGUACAUCUUGGGAUUGGGAAUUAUACCGUACCAAUUAAACCAGACCACUAAUGCAAUCAAAUAUGCUUAGAAACCAUGUUACUCAAAUAUCAUUCAGAAUAAUAAGAGUGAUGACGAACAGUUGUGGAAGAUAAUUAAAUCUAUUCUUCCAUCAAAAGACCACGAAUGUGUCAGGGAAAUUAAAGUGAACGGCACCUGCAUUAAGGAGCCACAACCGAGUUCAAAUAUCUUGGUGUGUGAUUUGACCAGUAUCUUAGGUGGGGUACUCAAAGAACUGUUACACUGUCUGAAAGACUUGGAGUGAUGAAACGAUAGAGUUGGUAUGUGGACCAGUAUACCAGUUAUACUUCAUACAAUACUCUCAUUCCGCCUCACAGUGACUAUUGUUGUACAGUCUGUGCUCAAGCUGCCAAUAAUAUGUAAAUCGAAUUCAGGUUUUCCAAAACCGCUCGUCAGUUUAAAAAGCAAACCAAGGCACACAUCUUAAAUUCAGAUAAUUUGAAUUAUUUGCCAAACUAUGUCGUCGAACCAAUUAAUCAUAUCAUCUUAUCUUAUUACUAAUAGUGUGUGAUCCGAACACUGUGUUGUAAAGGUCUGCCAAUGGGCUCAUUUUUAUGUAUAUUUGUUUAUAGACUUUUGUAUUUUAAGUUUGAUUUAUUAAGUUUUAGUCUUUCCCGUAUUUAUGUUCUAUGUAACUUCACUGUGAAAUGUUUUUUGCUUUGCUCUUUAUGUAUAAUGGUUUUUAUAAUAAUUUAAAUUUUUACUAAUUGUAUUUAAAUUGAGGGCCUCUUUAGAAAACAGUGAUGUGCACUGAUGGACCUUAACCCCAUUAAAAACUACUUAAAUAAAAUAAAAGAAUGGCUUGGUUGCUCAUUUGCCGAAAUUGAUCAGGAAACGCUGCUCACUGUUGUAGAAAUCAAAAACAUUUACAUGUUUGAUAACUCCUUUCGAUGCA